UGCUUUUGAUUUGUUGCAAAGAAAUCCACAAGGUGUUCGACCAGAGGGCCACUGAAGCUGCACUGCAGGAGUUUCUUGUGCGGAGGCUUGGUGCAUGAGGGAAGAUGCAGCCGCCAGUGAAGGCAAAGGUGUCAACUGAGCCUCUUUCAGCAGUGCAGCAGCAGUUUCAGCCAAACCAGAAGCCUGAAGGUGUUCAUGUAUGAGGAGCAGAAGUUCCCUAGAGUGAUAAGAGAUAGGUGUUGCAGCAGCAACUGCUGCUCUUUCUAUGCGCCUAAGUGUAGGGGUAGCAGCAUCAGUGGCAGCCAAUGUACUGGCACGCCCUGAAUUGGUCACAAUCGCAAUUAGUUCAAUUGCCACCUGAGCAAGUUCGGCUUGCCACCUGCCUUGGUCAGUUCCAGGUGUAUGGCUACCCGAAUCUCGAAUUAGCUCUGACAACUUUUUUCCAACCUGAAGUUUAGU
rnacentral:misc_RNA from 1 species